GAUGAACGCUGGCGGCGUGCCUAAUACAUGCAAGUCGAGCGAACAGACGAGGAGCUUGCUCCUUCGACGUUAGCGGCGGACGGGUGGGUAACACGUAGGUAACCUACCUAUAAGACUGGGAUAACUUCGGGAAACCGGAGCUAAUACCGGAUAAUAUUUCGAACCGCAUGGUUCGAUAGUGAAAGAUGGCUUUGCUAUCACUUAUAGAUGGACCUGCGCCGUAUUAGCUAGUUGGUAAGGUAACGGCUUACCAAGGCAACGAUACGUAGCCGACCUGAGAGGGUGAUCGGCCACACUGGAACUGAGACACGGUCCAGACUCCUACGGGAGGCAGCAGUAGGGAAUCUUCCGCAAUGGGCGAAAGCCUGACGGAGCAACGCCGCGUGAGUGAUGAAGGUCUUCGGAUCGUGAAACUCUGUUAUUAGGGAAGAACAAACGUGUAAGUAACUGUGCACGUCUUGACGGUACCUAAUCAGAAAGCCACGGCUAACUACGUG
rnacentral:rRNA from 1 species